AUUGAACGCUGGCGGCAGGCCUAACACAUGCAAGUCGAACGAGUGGCGUACGGAUUAGUAAUGUCUGGGAAACUGCCUGAUGGAUGGGGAUAACUACUGGAAACUGUAGCUAAUACCGCAUACAAUCAGAUGUGCACAGAUGGGAGUAGCUAGUUGGUGGGGUACCGGCUCACCAAGGCGACUAUCCCUAGCUGGUCUGAGAGGAUGACCAGCCACACUGGAACUGAGAACCGGUCCAGACUCUUACGGGAUGCAGCAUUGGGGAAUAUUGCACAAUGGGCGCAAGCCUGAUGCAGCCAUGCCGCGUGUAUGAAGAAGGCCUUCGGGUUGUAAAGUACUUUAAGCGGGGAGGCGUUACCCGCAGAAGAAGCACCGGCUACCUCCGUGCCAGCAGCCGCGGUAAUUC
rnacentral:rRNA from 1 species